GUCGCGUACUCACGCAGCUGAUCAGCAUGCCGCGUGCAUGAUGAAGGCCUUCGGGUUGUAAACUGCUUUUGUACGGAACGAAACGGUCCUGGUUAAUACCCGGGGCUAAUGACGGUACCGUAAGAAUAAGCACCGGCUAACUACGUGCCAGCAGCCGCGGUAAU
rnacentral:rRNA from 1 species